GGCUCUAUAGCUCAGUUGGUUAGAGCGUCCGGUUCAUACCCGGAAGGUCAUGAGUUCGAAUCUCCUUGGAGCCACCA
rnacentral:tRNA from 6 species